AGGGUUUGUCAUUCAUGGACCUAAUGUAUGUGAAACUGUCAACUGCUAUCUCAAGUUUGGCAAGGCAUUUGGAACAGGCGGCCAGGAUUGUAAAACUGGAGCAGGAAAUGGAUAAAUCCAACUCUGUUAGAAGUGAUGUGCGUCAUGAAUCGGUGAAUGGUGUCUGUGAUAAUCUUUCCCAACUAGGCUACAACUUGGAUUCACUAAAUCAAAUGGUGUCUUGUAUG